rnacentral:snRNA from 1 species
GUGCUCACAUCUGCAGUAGAUAGGCUAAAACUGGACAAGUGAGACAUUAGUGUGGCCCCUGCACAAAGAUGACACACAAAUUCAUUAUGUGUUCCAUAUUUUU